rnacentral:rRNA from 1 species
GAGUUUGAUCAUGGCUCAGAUUGAACGCUGGCGGCAGGCCUAACACAUGCAAGUCGAACGGUAACAGGAAACAGCUUGCUGUUUCGCUGACGAGUGGCGGACGGGUGAGUAAUGUCUGGGAAACUGCCUGAUGGAGGGGGAUAACUACUGGAAACGGUGGCUAAUACCGCAUAACGUCGCAAGACCAAAGAGGGGGACCCUCGGGCCUCUUGCCAUCGGAUGUGCCCAGAUGGGAUUAGCUUGUUGGUGGGGUAACGGCUCACCAAGGCGACGAUCCCUAGCUGGUCUGAGAGGAUGACCAGCCACACUGGAACUGAGACACGGUCCAGACUCCUACGGGAGGCAGCAGUGGGGAAUAUUGCACAAUGGGCGCAAGCCUGAUGCAGCCAUGCCGCGUGUAUGAAGAAGGCCUUCGGGUUGUAAAGUACUUUCAGCGGGGAGGAAGGGAGUAAAGUUAAUACCUUUGCUCAUUGACGUUACCCGCAGAAGAAGCACCGGCUAACUCCGUGCCAGCAGCCGCGGUAAUACGGAGGGUGCAAGCGUUAAUCGGAAUUACUGGGCGUAAAGCGCACGCAGGCGGUUUGUUAAGUCAGAUGUGAAAUCCCCGGGCUCAACCUGGGAACUGCAUCUGAUACUGGCAAGCUUGAGUCUCGUAGAGGGGGGUAGAAUUCCAGGUGUAGCGGUGAAAUGCGUAGAGAUCUGGAGGAAUACCGGUGGCGAAGGCGGCCCCCUGGACGAAGACUGACGCUCAGGUGCGAAAGCGUGGGGAGCAAACAGGAUUAGAUACCCUGGUAGUCCACGCCGUAAACGAUGUCGACUUGGAGGUUGUGCCCUUGAGGCGUGGCUUCCGGAGCUAACGCGUUAAGUCGACCGCCUGGGGAGUACGGCCGCAAGGUUAAAACUCAAAUGAAUUGACGGGGGCCCGCACAAGCGGUGGAGCAUGUGGUUUAAUUCGAUGCAACGCGAAGAACCUUACCUGGUCUUGACAUCCACGGAAGUUUUCAGAGAUGAGAAUGUGCCUUCGGGAACCGUGAGACAGGUGCUGCAUGUUGUCGUCAGCUCGUGUUGUGAAAUGUUGGGUUAAGUCCCGCAACGAGCGCAACCCUUAUCCUUUGUUGCCAGCGGUCCGGCCGGGAACUCAAAGGAGACUGCCAGUGAUAAACUGGAGGAAGGUGGGGAUGACGUCAAGUCAUCAUGGCCCUUACGACCAGGGCUACACACGUGCUACAAUGGCGCAUACAAAGAGAAGCGACCUCGCGAGAGCAAGCGGACCUCAUAAAGUGCGUCGUAGUCCGGAUUGGAGUCUGCAACUCGACUCCAUGAAGUCGGAAUCGCUAGUAAUCGUGGAUCAGAAUGCCACGGUGAAUACGUUCCCGGGCCUUGUACACACCGCCCGUCACACCAUGGGAGUGGGUUGCAAAAGAAGUAGGUAGCUUAACCUUCGGGAGGGCGCUUACCACUUUGUGAUUCAUGACUGGGGUGAAGUCGUAACAAGGUA